GACGAACGCUGGCGGCGUGCUUAACACAUGCAAGUCGAACGGAAAGGCCUCUUUCGGGGGGUACUCGAGUGGCGAACGGGUGAGUAACACGUGAGUAACCUGCCCUUGACUUUGGGAUAACUUCAGGAAACUGGGGCUAAUACCGGAUAGGAGCUCCUGCUGCAUGGGGGGGGUUGGAAAGGUUCGGCGGUUGGGGAUGGACUCGCGGCUUAUCAGCUUGUUGGUGGGGUAGUGGCUUACCAAGGCUUUGACGGGUAGCCGGCCUGAGAGGGUGACCGGCCACAUUGGGACUGAGAUACGGCCCAGACUCCUACGGGAGGCAGCAGUGGGGAAUAUUGCACAAUGGGUGGAAGCCUGAUGCAGCAACGCCGUGUGCGGGAUGACGGCCUUCGGGUUGUAAACCGCUUUCGCUCAUGACGAAGCUUUGUGUGACGGUAGUGGGUAAAGAAGCACCGGCUAACUACGUG
rnacentral:rRNA from 1 species